GUGGGGAAUAUUGCACAAUGGGGGAAACCCUGAUGCAGCAACGCCACGUGUGGGAAGAAGCAUUUCGGUGUGUAAACCACUGUCAUGAGGGAAUAAGGCCCUUAUCCGUAAGGGAUUGAAUGUACCUUGAGAGGAAGCACCGGCAAACUUCGUGCCAGCAGCCGCGGUAAUACGAGGGGUGCAAGCGUUGUUCGGAAUUACUGGGCGUAAAGGGAGCGUAGGCGGAGAUUCAAGCGGAUUGUACAAUCCCGGGGCCCAACCCCGGUUCUGCAGUCCGAACUGGAUCUCUUGGAUAGUUCAGGGGCAGGCGGAAUUCCUGGUGUAGCGGUGGAAUGCGUAGAGAUCAGGAAGAACACCGAUGGCGAAGGCAGCCUGCUGGGGACUCAUCGACGCUGAGGCUCGAAAGUGCGGGUAGCAAACAGG
rnacentral:rRNA from 1 species